UGUUUAUAUCCCAGCGGCCCAAUAGCACUUUAAAGAGAUAUCCUGCCCUGGACUCUGGAGCUCGAGUAGCUCUUUUAGACAGCUCAGAAUAAUGGAUUUUAGUCGAAUUCCGGGGCUGCAAGAACAUGGGAAUCUACUCGUUACCAUGAAUAGUUCAAAAGUCGAAAAACCGCUGCUCUAAUCCAACCGAGCUGUGGCAGGGUGAUUUACCUUUGUGUUAUCCAAUUCCGGGAAUGAAUCGUUCGCUCGCUUCCUAAGCAGGCUAAGGUAGAACUUGUAUUGUAAUCUUGCAUCUUCUUCCCAGCACCUAAGGUAUAUAUACUUUUGACGGGCGGAACCAGAAAUUUUAAUUUGGGUGCAUAUAUAGUUCCUCUGAGUCGUAGUUGGACUGCAGAUGGCUGGAUGAACCAGUUUUGAAAUAUCUUAGGCAUGGUCAGGAUGGAGUUAAUCUCAAGUGAAAGCGUGGAUAAAAAUCUAAGCCAACUCGAUGGUCACAUUGAACUUCAGUUCAGGUAAGCGGACCAACUACGAAGUACCAACAACCUUAAUGGCCAGUAUUUACUACUUGUCUAGCAAACUUGUUGAGCCCCACAAAAAAUCAAUUGCACCACUGUUCUAUGUGGUCGGAACCUAGACAAAGAAUACGGGAAAAUGUGAACUUGUUUAUAUAUGACGUCGGACAUUUGUAAUAUAAACUGGAAAUGGAAAAAGGUGGGGUGGGGAAGGGAAAGAAUAUUGGUUUGUAUACU